rnacentral:rRNA from 1 species
ACGGGGCGCAGCAGGCGCGAAAACUUUACAAUGCGGGAAACCGUGAUAAGGGAACUCCGAGUGCCCGUAAACGCGGGCUGUCCAUCUGCUUAAAAAACAGGUGAAGAAAGGGCCGGGCAAGACCGGUGCCAGCCGCCGCGGUAAUACCGGCGGCUCGAGUGGUGGCCACUAUUACUGGGCUUAAAGCGUCCGUAGCUUGGUUGUUAAGUCUCUUGGGAAAUCUGUCGGCUUAACCGACAGGCGUUUAAGGGAUACUGGCAAUCUAGGGACCGGGAGAGGUGAGAGGUACUCCAGGGGUAGGAGUGAAAUCCUGUAAUCC